rnacentral:rRNA from 1 species
AUUGAACGCUGGCGGCAGGCUUAACACAUGCAAGUCGAGCGGAGAUGAGGUGCUUGCACCUUAUCUUAGCGGCGGACGGGUGAGUAAUGCUUAGGAAUCUGCCUAUUAGUGGGGGACAACAUUCCGAAAGGAAUGCUAAUACCGCAUACGCCCUACGGGGGAAAGCAGGGGAUCUUCGGACCUUGCGCUAAUAGAUGAGCCUAAGUCGGAUUAGCUAGUUGGUGGGGUAAAGGCCUACCAAGGCGACGAUCUGUAGCGGGUCUGAGAGGAUGAUCCGCCACACUGGGACUGAGACACGGCCCAGACCCCUACGGGAGGCAGCAGUGGGGAAUAUUGGACAAUGGGCGGAAGCCUGAUCCAGCCAUGCCGCGUGUGUGAAGAAGGCCUUUUGGUUGUAAAGCACUUUAAGCGAGGAGGAGGCUACCUGGAUUAAUACUCUAGGAUAGUGGACGUUGCUCGCAGAAUAAGCACCGGCUAACUCUGUGCCAGCCGCCGCGGUAAGAC